rnacentral:lncRNA from 10 species
UGAGAAGCAAAUACAUAUCAAAGCUCACUUUCCUCAUGGGUAGAAAGCUAUUUGACUAACAGAUUUCAGCGGUGCCUUGGUGACAAGAAAAGAAAAAACCCUCCAAGGAUUCUGGAGGAAGUUGAAAGGCAGGAGGUCAGGCUUCCACCUGCAGGUAGAAUGAGUGUUUGCCAUUUCCUCAAAUUCCUUGAGACCACCCACUGGCAUGAAGGAUGGUGAGCAAAGCCUGGGGAAUGAAGACUAUCUUUCAAAAGGACUUUUCUUUCCCUUGCAAAAGGGAAUGCACUCUCUGAAGAAGCAUAUGCCAGCACUGGUGAGAUACAGUUCUUCAACAAGUAAGGAUCUGUCUACAUUCGGGGCACGUCUUGGGGAAGCCUUGAAGGGAAUCGUGCCUGGAGUCCCAUCUGACUUAACUCAUCAUCACAGUCCUUCAUCACAACAUAAUGAGUGUUAUUACUUCCUCAUGUGGCCUGUGGGCUUUGUUAAUUAAAGAAUGGAAAGUUCAAAGAUGGAAAUCGUCAGAGGCUUCCAAGAUGGCUGAAUAGGAACAGCUCCAGUCCGCAGCUCCCAGCAAGAUUGAUGCAGAAGGCGGAUGAUUUCUGCAUUUCCAACUAAGUGCCAUGACUUAAGGAGUGAAGAGAGGGCAUAGAGAACAAGCAGAGUAUGCAGGGCAUAUGCUGAGAUAAGAAACUGGAUCUGAAACAAGUUGAAUACUUGCAGAGAAUCAUGGGAACCAUUAUAACAAAGAAGUCAAGAGUGUUGGUGUGGAGUGGACCUUGGUUUGAAUACUCAGCUCUGCCACUUACUAGCUGUAGGCUCAUAUGCAAGUUACUAUCCUCAUCUGUUAAAAAGGAAUAAUAUCUAAUGUUAUAUAAAAUGUAAAAGUUAUUUCACACAAUGCCAUUCACAUAGUAAAUGUUCAAUAAAAGCAAAAACCUCAGGACAUAUAUAAGUGGCAAUGUGAAAUUAAUACAGCAGAAGCUCAGUUCACACAGAUGUUAAUCCUUAAACAAGCCUUGCAUUGUAUGAGUAUCCCACAAAAGGAGUAAGGGAAGAAGAUCUUACAUCACUGGAGUGAGUGACUACCAUGGACCAGCCACCGUUACUCACUUUACUUCAUUUAACCCGCACAAUAGCCUCAUGAGGUAGAUAUCAUCACCAUUUUGCAGAUGAGAAAGCUGAAGCUAAGCAAAGUUGACCUGACCAAAAUCACAUAGCAAUUAAGAUAGGAGUCCAGCUUCGUCUCAUUCCAAUAUGAGUGCGUUUUCCUCUUUUCCAUUGGCUCUCAAAGUUUGGUCUUAAAGGAGCUGUAUCAGCAUCACCUGGGAACUUAUUAGAACUGCACCUUCUCAGCCCUACCCCAAACCCACUGGGUCAGAAACUCUGGGGUUGGGGCCUAGCCAUCUGUGUUUCACACUCAGACUGACACACGAUCAUUUCUGAUAACCACUGCUCUAUGACAUGCGUUUCCUCUUCAGUUAGGAUCCGACUCCUUAUUUUGUAUUUAACAAGGAGUAUGAAACAAAGCCCGGGCUCUGAAUUUGUAUUCCUCAGCAAUAAUGUGUCAAGUAAUCUUAAACAAGCAAACCCCUGGCCCAUUCCAGCCCAUAGUGCAUGUGCGGAAGAAAAGUAGAAAUUAAUAUUGGGGCCAUUUUGCAUAUUCCUAAACCCGUAAGCUAGUCUCUUUGGAGAACGUUAAAGCUUUGCUAUUGUCACAACUAGUGGUGUCACUUCCCACCAUUCCUGUUAGUCUUGGGCAACAUGAUAUAUUUAUUAAGCUCCUACUAUGUGCCACUGGGAGAAGAGUGAAGAACAAAAUCAGCAAAGCCUCCCCUCAGGGAGCAUAUGAUCCGAUCUUUCCCAGCAGUGGACUCUUGUUGGUCAUUCCUAGAAUCCCAAGACCCUUCUCUUUUAUCGUUCCCCCCACCAAACCUAUCUACAUUUAGAAUGGGAAUAACUAUAACUUCUAGGCAAGUAACUGUAACUCCUAACUGAGAUCAUUUACUCAAACUCCCCUGGAUCACACAUAGCCUGUCCACCCAAUGUAGUAUAGCUGACUCCUCUGGUCUGAAUGUGCCCCCUCAAAAUUCACAUAUUGAAACCCUGACCCCCAAGUCGACAGUAAUUAGGAGGUGAGGAUUUGGGGAGGUGACUGUGACUCAUGCCCUUAUAAAAGACGCCCCAGAGAGACCCCUCACCCCUUCCACCGUGUGAGCACACAGCAAAAACUACCUUGUAUGAACCAGAAAGUAAGUCCUCACUAGACAAUGAAUCUGCCAGCACCUUGAUCUUCCACUCCCCAGCCUCCAGAACUGUGGGAAACAAGUUUAUAAACCACCCAGUUUAUGAUACGUUGUUAUAGCAGCCUGAACAGACUAAGACACUGACCAAAUGAUAAGGAUCAGAGAAAAGCCAAUCAAGCUUGGAGAAACCAUUUUCCAAGCACCCACUGUACCAGCAGCCCAAGAAUCAUUCAGAAUUGUCCUGGCCAUUACGCUGUGUGCCCAUGGAUCUCAGCAUGAGUCUGAAGAAUCAGCUCUGCCAAGCCAGGACCCAGACCCUCCAGCAUUUUAGUCCAAUGUUCUCUGCACUCCCCGGGUGAUGGUGUGAUGCUGGAGUUACCACAAGUCAUCAGCCUCACUAGCCAAAGGGCAAAUACCCUGAAUUUGCUCUUUAUUGACUAUAUGAGAACCACAUUGCUUCACACUGAAAACAAGUACUAUUUGAAGUAUAAAAGGACUCCUAAUCUAUAUUCCACCUGCCGCUAGCUCUGUCUUUGAAAGCCAUUGCCUUCACUGAAUGAUUCCAGCUGGUGCUCUCCUCUGUGCUGGCUUUUAUGGGCUAUAAGGAUGGAUACACAAGGUGUAGGUCAGUUUUUUAGGGAAUGUAGAAGCCUUGCCCUCUCAACUCAACACAUGCUUCUCUUUUCUUCUUCCCUCUAUCCUGGAAUUAAUGGGGAUAAAUGUUGCUAAAGCAUCUAGUUAAAUGUUCUUAGAUAAUUCUGGUCUGUACACUGAUUGACCAGAAAACAGAAAUGACUUCAUCUGAAAGAAAACUAAUAUAUGUGGGAAAGAGGAGUGAUCGGCUGUAAUAUUUAUGUUUUCCUGUCUCUUGUGUGAAUUCACAGGCAACUUCCAGAAUAAAAUCCUC